GUUGGAACCUGUAUUGUUUCGAUGCUUACUCUUCAAAAGAAUGGCUCUUAGGUCAUUGAGAACGAUAUUCCUGGCUUGUGAAAGUGGCAAGAAGAGGAGGGAAGAUUAGUAGAGAAGGAAUUCAUAAUUAAAAGUCUUCCAAAGGGUACUCAAGUUCAACAGGAGAUGAGAGAAGAGCAAGGAGAUGAUGGAGCAAUGGGAGGCAGCACAGGAGGGUGUGAUUGAUUAUAUCAACAACAGAAGCAAACUUGAAGAGGAAGAUAAGAACAGAACAAAGCCGUUAAAGAUGUCUCCGUGCAACACACUCAAGUUGAAUGUCAACUGCAAGAAGACUCUUCUGCAGUUCUACCACCUGCUAUACCUUCAUUUUAUAAGCCACUGUAACAAUUUAUAUAACUUUCCUGUUUGUUACCAUGUUAUUCCUGAUUUUUAAAUUGCAUCAUUGGUAAUUAACCUAGAAUAUAACAGCUUUGACGAAGAAAAAUCUACCUCUUGUACAUCUUCAUAUCCAAAUGCCUGUCUCAAUGUGUACAAUCUUUUUUCUCCCACUCAGCCACAUAAGAAUGGGUCUGGAGGAGUUCCCAUUGUGG